AACGAACGCUGGCGGCAGGCCUAACACAUGCAAGUCGAGCGCCCCGCCAGGGGAGCGUCGGACGGUUGAGUAACGCGUGGGGAUAUGCCCUUUGCUACGGAAUAGUUUCGGGAAACUGGGGGUAAUACCGUAUACGCCCUUUGGGGGAAAGAUUUAUCGGCGAAGGAUUAGCCCGCGUUGUAUUAGGUUGUUGGUGGGGUAAUGGCCUACAAAGCCGACGAUCCUUAGCUGGUUUGAGAGGAGGAUCAGCCACACUGGGACUGAGCUCCGGCCCAGCCUCUUAGGGGAGGAAGAAGUGGGGAAUCUGAGACAAUGGGGGAAACCCUGAGCAAGACAUGCGGGGUAAGUGAUGAAGGCUUUAGGAUUGUAAAGCUCUUUCGGCUGGGAAGAUAAUGACGGUACCAGCAGAAGAAGCCCCGGCUAACUCCGU
rnacentral:rRNA from 1 species